rnacentral:tRNA from 1 species
CCUUCGAUAGCUCAUCUGGUAGAGUGGAGGACUGUAGAUCCUUAAGUUGCUGGUUCGAUUCCUGCUCGAAGGA